rnacentral:rRNA from 1 species
GAUGAACGCUAGCUACAGGCUUAACACAUGCAAGUCGAGGGGAAACGAUAUUGGAAGCUUGCUUCCGAUAGGCGUCGACCGGCGCACGGGUGAGUAACGCGUAUCCAACCUGCCCACCACUUGGGGAUAACCUUGCGAAAGUAAGACUAAUACCCAAUGAUAUCUCUAGAAGACAUCUGAAGGAGAUUAAAGAUUCAUCGGUGAUGGAUGGGGAUGCGUCUGAUUAGCUUGUUGGCGGGGUAACGGCCCACCAAGGCGACGAUCAGUAGGGGUUCUGAGCGGAAGGUCCCCCACAUUGGAACUGAGACACGGUCCAAACACCUACGGGAGGCAGCAGUGAGGAAUAUUGGUCAAUGGGCGAGAGCCUGAACCAGCCAAGUAGCGUGCAGGAUGACGGCCCUAUGGGUUGUAAACUGCUUUUAUAAGGGAAUAAAGUGAGUCUCGUGAGACUUUUUGCAUGUACCUUAUGAAUAAGGACCGGCUAAUUCCGUGCCAGCCGCCGCCGUAA